rnacentral:rRNA from 1 species
UACGUAGGUGGCAAGCGUUGUCCGGAUUUACUGGGCGUAAAGAGCGCGCAGGCGGUCGAAUAAGUCGAAUGUGAAAGCCCCCGGCUCAACUGGGGAGGGUCAUUCGAUACUGCUCGACUUGAAGGCAGGAGAGGGUAGUGGAAUUCCCGGUGUAGUGGUGAAAUGCGUAGAUAUCGGGAGGAACACCAGUGGCGAAGGCGACUACCUGGCCUGUUAUUGACGCUGAGGCGCGAAAGCUGGGGGAGCAAACGGG